AACGAACGCUGGCGGCAUGCCUAACACAUGCAAGUCGAACGCGUGUAGCAAUACACGAGUGGCGCACGGGUGAGUAACGCGUGGGAACCUGCCCUGGGGGUGCGGGAUAACCCGGCGAAAGCCGGGGCUAAUACCGCAUACGACCUUUGGGUGAAAGAUUUAUCGCCCUAGGAGGGGCCCGCGUCGGAUUAGCUAGUUGGUGAGGUAACGGCUCACCAAGGCGAUGAUCCGUAGCUGGUCUGAGAGGAUGAUCAGCCACACUGGGACUGAGACACGGCCCAGACUCCUACGGGAGGCAGCAGUGGGGAAUAUUGGACAAUGGGGGGCAACUCUGAUCCAGCAAUGCCGCGUGAGUGAUGAAGGCCUUAGGGUUGUAAAGCUCUUUCGGCGGGGACGAUGAUGACGGUACCCGCAGAAGAAGCCCCGGCUAACUUCGUGCCAGCAGCCGCGGUAAU
rnacentral:rRNA from 1 species